UCCGUUGUCGGCCCUGCGGUUAAGAUAUCUGGCUUUCACCCAGGAGACCUGGGUUCAAUUCCCGGCAAUGGAA
rnacentral:tRNA from 1 species